UGGGGAAUUUUGGACAAUGGGCGAAAGCCUGAUCCAGCAAUGCCGCGUGUGUGAAGAAGGCCUUCGGGUUGUAAAGCACUUUUGUCCGGAAAGAAAUCCUUGGCUCUAAUACAGUCGGGGGAUGACGGUACCGGAAGAAUAAGCACCGGCUAACUACGUGCCAGCAGCCGCGGUAAUACGUAGGGUGCAAGCGUUAAUCGGAAUUACUGGGCGUAAAGCGUGCGCAGGCGGUUUGCUAAGACCGAUGUGAAAUCCCCGGGCUCAACCUGGGAACUGCAUUGGUGACUGGCAGGCUAGAGUAUGGCAGAGGGGGGUAGAAUUCCACGUGUAGCAGUGAAAUGCGUAGAGAUGUGGAGGAAUACCGAUGGCGAAGGCAGCCCCCUGGGCCAAUACUGACGCUCAUGCACGAAAGCGUGGGGAGCAAACAGGAUUAGAUACCCUGGUAGUCCACGCCCUAAACGAUGUCAACUAGUUGUUGGGGAUUCAUUUCCUUAGUAACGUAGCUAACGCGUGAAGUUGACCGCCUGGGGAGUACGUCGCAAGAUUAAAACUUAAAGGAAUUG
rnacentral:rRNA from 1 species